UAUGUGAUCGUCUCUCGCAUAUCAAUAAGCGGAGGAAAAGAAACUAACAAGGAUUCCCCUAGUAACGGCGAGUGAAGCGGGAAGAGCUCAAAUUUGAAAUCUUAAAGGGUUUCCCUUUACGAAUUGUAGUUUAAAGAAGUGUUUUCUGUUGAGGUUUUGGUAAAAGUUCUUUGGAAUAGGACAUCAUAGGGGGUGAGAAUCCCGUAUUUGACCUUUACUUUCAACUUUGUGAUACACUUUCAAAGAGUCGGAUUGUUUGGGAAUGCAGUCCAAAAUGGGUGGUAAAUUUCAUCUAAAGCUAAAUAUUGGCGAGAGACCGAUAGCGAACAAGUACCGUGAGGGAAAGAUGAAAAGAACUUUGAAAAGAGAGUUAAACAGUACGUGAAAUUGUCAAAAGGGAAGCGUUUGACACCAGUGUUGUUUUUCUGAAAAUCAAUUAAAGAACUGUUUAUGCUAAGUUGUUUAGACUUUAUCAGCUAACUGUUUAGUUUUGAGCUUUUCUUUAAUGCACUUUUCAGUUAACAAGUCAACAUCAAUUUCUUUUGCUGUAAAAAAGCUUGAGGAAGGUGGCUUGAGAUUCGUCUUAAGUGUUUAUAGCCUCUUGCCUAUGCAGUCGGAGAGAUUGAGGUCUGCAGCGUAGAUCCUUCGGGGCUAAAUGCAUUUGUGCUAAGUUAUAGCAUUUUAUAGACAACUUGUUGACUAUGAUUUGUCUUGUAGCUUACUCGCUUAUGUUAUUUUACCUACGCUUAGGAUGUUGAGCGCAUGUCUCUCUCU
rnacentral:rRNA from 1 species